GACGAACGCUGGCGGCGUGCCUAAUACAUGCAAGUAGAACGCUGAAGGAGGAGCUUGCUUCUCUGGAUGAGUUGCGAACGGGUGAGUAACGCGUAGGUAACCUGCCUGGUAGCGGGGGAUAACUAUUGGAAACGAUAGCUAAUACCGCAUAAUAGUAGAUGUUGCAUGACAUUUGCUUAAAAGGUGCAAUUGCAUCACUACCAGAUGGACCUGCGUUGUAUUAGCUAGUUGGUGAGGUAACGGCUCACCAAGGCAACGAUACAUAGCCGACCUGAGAGGGGGAGCGGCCACACUGGGACUGAGACACGGCCCAGACUCCUACGGGAGGCAGCAGUAGGGAAUCUUCGGCAAUGGACGGAAGUCUGACCGAGCAACGCCGCGUGAGUGAAGAAGGGUUUCGGAUCGUAAAGCUCUGUUGUAAGAGAAGAACGAGUGUGAGAGUGGAAAGUUCACACUGUGACGGUAUCUUACCAGAAAGGGACGGCUAACUACGUG
rnacentral:rRNA from 1 species